UACGUAGGGUGCAAGCGUUGUCCGGAAUUAUUGGGCGUAAAGAGCUCGUAGGCGGUCUGUCGCGUCGGCUGUGAAAACUCGGGGCUCAAUCCCGAGCCUGCAGUCGAUACGGGCAGACUAGAGUGCUGUAGGGGAGACUGGAAUUCCUGGUGUAGCGGUGAAAUGCGCAGAUAUCAGGAGGAACACCGGUGGCGAAGGCGGGUCUCUGGGCAGUAACUGACGCUGAGGAGCGAAAGCGUGGGGAGCGAACAGG
rnacentral:rRNA from 1 species